UUGCGAUUACGGCGAAGCAGAGUAAAUGUUAUUCCAGUCUUCUAUUUUAGUUUAAACACAAUUGAAAUGGAUAAAUUACGUCCAAAUAGCAUUGAGAAUGACAGGGCUAGUGGUGCAGUUGAUGCUGUCGAAAAUUUUAAACGAAAAUAUAAAAAGAGGAGGGCCACAUCCGAAGGAAAUUCUCCAAAAUUUGGUCGGAUGAGGCGAAGCCGGGGCCGGAGAAGGCGGUAGGAACAGUAAGAAAAGGGAGGGAGAUGAAGACGUCCCCCUAACUCUGGUCGACACGAAACAGCUGAUUACCAAGGAAAAGAAAAAUCGAAACUGGGGGAAACACAAAAAGCGUAAGGGCAGUGGUUGACACAGGCGAUGGCAGCCCUCGUUACAAUAUAUACGGAGAAGUCAUCAAACAAAUCAGCAAUAACGACUUUGUCAACAAAGAUUUAAUUCGAUUCAGCAACAUGGAAUUUGCUGAAUGCUCCAUCGUCAAGGAUUUUCAGAAGAUUUAUGUGGAAAAGAAACAAAAAAAUGUCAGUUUUUAUGAUUUUAUUAAAACGGACUUUACAAAAAAGCUGAGCAAACUGCUCACUAUCAACCAGGUUUGUUGAUAAGAACAAUAGUUUUUAUGGCUCAAGACUUCGUAGGCAGCAACAACGUUAAUUUGCUCAUCCCCAAUGGCCAAUUUGGAACUUGGCAUCAGGGAGGUAAAGAUGCUGCUAGUCAUCGUUUAUCUCUAGAAAUAUGAGCAACUUAACACACCGGAUCUUUCACCCACACUUUGCCUUACCGCGCGCACCAAAUAAGGCAUGCGAAUUAAAAAUGAAAUUUAAAAAUUCUAACUGAUGAACGGAUCACGGGAAAAGUUUCAUUGUUUGAUGGGGUUUUCUACACAGGAAAAAUUUAGUGCCGAUGCAAGAGCGUGGAUUUGAUCUGCUGACCAUUAAAAAAAUUUCGCGAAUCAAUUAAGAUUCAUUCUCGAAGUGUGCGACAAAGUCUUCUAUUUCAACUUCAAAGAGACUAAUGUUUUUAUGGAGAAGAUGUGUCAAUUACUUAUUAUUAACAUCUUUGCCGGAACCUUUUUUUUAAUAAAAAAAAAGAUUCCAUCAAAUGAUGCGUAAUUUUUCAUCUUUUUUCCAGUUGCUGAUUGUCAAUAGUUUCUCGUCUCUCGUGUCCUUUUUUGCACGGAAGACGUGACCACCACUACAAGAGGAGCAAACAGGGACUGAGCCUGAGAGGGCGCGAGGCUCGCGCCCUCUCAGCAGACAACGAGAUCUAUCUUGAAAUACAGCCUAAACUGGGAAAAAAGAAGAAGAAACAAUCUAAACGCCAGGUUGCAGAAGGUUGCUGGAUGACAUGGACUGUGACUCAUGCGAAGCAAUAGAAAAAUCUGCAGAUGGAGCUGAAUCAGAAAAAUCUUCAGCUGGUUCAACUUCAAAUGUUAGUUCUAGCUCAUCAACAGAUCUAGCCUGUUAUCCAGCACGUUCUGAAAAAAUGGCAUCAAUAAACAGAGCUGUCCUUCUUUUUAUAGUUCGUGGAAUGCACCCACUCUCUAUGGUAGACAACAGCCAUUUUAUCAAUCUCGUCAAAGUGUUGGAUCCUCGCAUCGAAUUACCAUGUCGGUCAACACUUACGAAAGUUCUCUUGACAGAUAUGUAUGAAGAGGCUAAAAGAAAUCUGCAGUCAGAAAUUGAUUCGGUUCAUCACGUCGCUUUGACCACUGACGGAUGGACUUCCAUCACUGGAGAUUCUUAUGUCACAGUCACGAUACAUUUCAUCAACAACCACCUCAAAAUGCUGAC
rnacentral:lncRNA from 1 species